AUUGAACGCUGGCGGCAGGCCUAACACAUGCAAGUCGAGCGGAUGAAGGGAGCUUGCUCCUGGAUUCAGCGGCGGACGGGUGAGUAAUGCCUAGGAAUCUGCCUGGUAGUGGGGGAUAACGUCCGGAAACGGGCGCUAAUACCGCAUACGUCCUGAGGGAGAAAGUGGGGGAUCUUCGGACCUCACGCUAUCAGAUGAGCCUAGGUCGGAUUAGCUAGUUGGUGGGGUAAAGGCCUACCAAGGCGACGAUCCGUAACUGGUCUGAGGGGAUGAUCAGUCACACUGGAACUGAGACACGGUCCAGACUCCUACGGGAGGCAGCAGUGGGGAAUAUUGGACAAUGGGCGAAAGCCUGAUCCAGCCAUGCCGCGUGUGUGAAGAAGGUCUUCGGAUUGUAAAGCACUUUAAGUUGGGAGGAGGGGCAGUAAGUUAAUACCUUGCUGUUUUGACGUUACCAACAGAAUAAGCACCGGCUAACUUCGUG
rnacentral:rRNA from 1 species